rnacentral:misc_RNA from 1 species
AGGGAUCAUUACAGAGAACAUCGCCCUCACGGGUGACUCUCCAACCCUUAUGUUAUUAAAACCUUUGUUGCUUUGGCGAGCCGCUUCGGCCACCGACACUCUGUUGGUGUGCGCUCGCCAGAGGACCACAAACUCUUGUUUAUUAGUGUCGUCUGAGUACUAUAUAAUAGUUAAAACUUUCAACAACGGAUCUCUUGGUUCUG